rnacentral:misc_RNA from 1 species
AUUGGUAUGAGAAGCUUCCAGGAACUUCCUGUGCAGGGUGCAAGCCCUUAGCACCGGGAUCUUCUGGUAAAUUUUGGAGGGGGGGUCUUCGGACCCUCUUUUUUUUUUUAUUUUUUU